rnacentral:rRNA from 1 species
GAUUGCCUCAGUAACGGCGAGUGAAGCGGCAACAGCUCAAAUUUGAAAUCUGGCCUCUUUGGGGUCCGAGUUGUAAUUUGUAGAGGAUGUUUCGGGUACCGCCUCGGUUUAAAUUUCUUGGAACAGAAUGUCAGAGAGGGUGAGAAUCCCGUCUUGGACCGGCGGUAGGGCCCAUGUGAAACUCCUUCGACGAGUCGAGUUGUUUGGGAAUGCAGCUCAAAAUGGGUGGUAAAUUUCAUCUAAAGCUAAAUAUUGGCCAGAGACCGAUAGCGCACAAGUAGAGUGAUCGAAAGAUGAAAAGAACUUUGAAAAGAGAGUUAAACAGUAUGUGAAAUUGUUGAAAGGGAAGCGCUUGCAACCAGACUUGAGCGCGGCGGUUCCCCCUUCCUUUUGGUUGGGUUACUCCGCCGUGUCCAGGCCAACAUCGGUUCUGGGGGUCGGUUAAAGGCCCGGGGAAUGUACCUACUCCUUCGGGGGUAGACUUAUAGCCCCGGGUGUCAUGCGACCACCCGGGACCGAGGAACGCGCUUCGGCUCGGAUGUUGGCGUAAUGGUUGU